rnacentral:rRNA from 1 species
CAACGAAUAUUCCGCAAUGGACGAAAGUCUGACGGAGCGACGCCGCGUGCAGGAAGAAGUCCCUCGGGAUGUAAACUGCUGUCAGGGGUGAGGAAAACUGACCAGCCCCAGAGGAAGCCACGGCUAACUCCGUGCCAGCAGCCGCGGUAAUACGGAGGUGGCAAGCGUUGUUCGGAAUCAUUGGGCUUAAAGCGCGUGCAGGCGGGGUACUAGGUGUUGGGUGAAAUCCCCGAGCUCAACUCGGGAACUG